UACGUAGGGUGCAAGCGUUGUCCGGAAUUAUUGGGCGUAAAGAGCUCGUAGGCGGCCUGUCGCGUCGGCUGUGAAAACUCGGGGCUCAACUCCGAGCUUGCAGUCGAUACGGGCAGGCUAGAGUUCGGCAGGGGAGACUGGAAUUCCUGGUGUAGCGGUGAAAUGCGCAGAUAUCAGGAGGAACACCGGUGGCGAAGGCGGGUCUCUGGGCCGAUACUGACACUGAGGAGCGAAAGCGUGGGGAGCGAACAGG
rnacentral:rRNA from 1 species